rnacentral:rRNA from 1 species
GAUGAACGCUGGCGGUGUGCCUAAUACAUGCAAGUCGAACGAAGCCUUCGGGCUUAGUGGCGGACGGGUGAGUAACACGUUGGUACCUACCUCGAAGUGGGGAAUAACUGGCCGAAAGGUCGGCUAAUACCGCAUGUGAUCGCAAGAUCAAAGUCGUAAGACGCUUCGAGGGGGGCCUGCGUCCCAUUAGCUUGUUGGUAGUGUAAUGGACUACCAAGGCGACGAUGGGUAGCUGGAUUGAGAGGUUGACCAGCCACACUGGGACUGAGAUACGGCCCAGACUCCUACGGGAGGCAGCAGUGGGGAAUAUUGGACAAUGGGCGCAAGCCUGAUCCAGCCAUGCCGCGUGAGUGAUGAAGGCCUUAGGGUUGUAAAGCUCUUUCGCUGGGGAAGAUAAUGACGGUACCCAGAGAAGAAGCCCCGGCUAACUUCGUGCCAGCCGCCGCAGUAA